rnacentral:rRNA from 1 species
CUUGUCUCCUAAAUAGAGACCUGUAUGAAAGGCCCAAUGAGAAAGAAACUGUCUCUUGAAGUUAGCCAAUGAAACUGAUCUGCCCGUGCAAAAGCAGGCAUAACAAAACAAGACAAAAAGACCCUGUGAAACUUAAAAUAAACGCCAAUAACAUGUCGAUAUUUUUAGGUUGGGGCAACCAAAGAGAAACAAAACCUCUAAAACACAUUAGACUAACAAGUCUAACCAAACCAAUAUGACCCAGUAAAACUGAUUAAUGAACCAAGCUACUCCAGGGAUAACAGCGCCAAAUUCUUGAAGAGUCCACAUCAACAAGAAUCCCUACGACCUCGAUGUUGGAUCAGGAUAACCCAACAGCGCAAAAGCUGCUAACGGUUCGUUUGUUCAACGAUUAAUAUCCU